UACGUAGGGGGCAAGCGUUGUCCGGAAUUAUUGGGCGUAAAGAGCGCGUAGGCGGUCCGAUAAGUCGGCUGUGAAAGUCCAGGGCUCAACCCUGGGAUGCCGGUGGAUACUGUCGGGCUCGAGUCCGGAAGAGGCGAGUGGAAUUCCUGGUGUAGCGGUGAAAUGCGCAGAUAUCAGGAGGAACACCAAUGGCGAAGGCAGCUCGCUGGGACGUGACUGACGCUGAGACGCGAAAGCGUGGGGAGCGAACAGG
rnacentral:rRNA from 1 species